CUGUUGCAUGAAGGCUAUAAAAUUUGAUGUGGUUUUGAUAUACAGAAUCAAUAGAAAUCGAAAGUAAUAGAUUUAAUGUGUUGAAGUACAAAUGCAUACACCGAGUGACAUUUUUGAGAUGUCUAGUACUUUUUGCUGCACUUUUCGAAGACAGUUUACGUUAAAUCGACCAUCGGCUAAAGAUUUCCUUUGGAAGGUAUUGAUUUCCUUCUAAUUUGCAAAUAUACUCAUUCGUCUUUUUAAUAUAUAUUUGACCAAUGUGUUUCAUACGGAACUUCGGAAGAGCUACAUGAUUUGAUUAUUUGUUUUUUGGAAAUCCUGACUUCAAAAUAAAUUAUACUAUAUGGAU